AACAGCAGCAGUGAGGGGGAAACAGCAGCAGUGAGGGGGAAACAGCAGCAGUGAGGUGGAAACAGUAGCAGUGAGAGGGGAAACAGCAGCAGUGACAGGGAAAAAUUAGCAGUGAGGGGGAAACAGUAGAAGUGAGGGGGAAACAGCAGCAGUGACAGGGAAACAGCAGCAGUGAGGUGGAAACAGUAGCAGUGGGGGGGAAACAGCAGCAGGGAUGGGAAACAGUAGCAGGACAGGGAAACAGUAGCAGUAAGGGGAAACAGCAGCAGGGACAGGGAAACAGUAGCAGGACAGGGAAACAGUAGCAGUAAGGGGAAACAGCAGCAGGG
rnacentral:lncRNA from 1 species